UACAGAGGUCUCAAGCGUUGUUCGGAUUCAUUGGGCGUAAAGGGUGCGUAGGCGGCGCGGUAAGUCGGGUGUGAAAUCUCGGGGCUUAACUCCGAAACUGCAUUCGAUACUGCCGUGCUUGAGGACUGGAGAGGAGACUGGAAUUUACGGUGUAGCGGUGAAAUGCGCAGAUAUCGGGAGGAACACCAAUGGCGAAGGCAGCUCGCUGGGACGUGACUGACGCUGAGACGCGAAAGCGUGGGAGGCA
rnacentral:rRNA from 1 species